rnacentral:lncRNA from 1 species
UGAUCCAAGAGUCCCAUACGGAAGAAGCAAAGCACAGAUCUAGGUGAAAAUGGAAACAUCUUCUCAAGUUGAUCUCAGCCCUCUUUGAUGUCCCCUGAACUCUGAGGACUCGAAAUUACCAUCCAGCAGGAAGGUCGGGGCUCCUCUGGGGGCUGAGAAUUGUGAAAGAGGAGGAAAGAAACGAUGCCCAGAGAAGAAUGGAAUGUAUGGGGCAGGGAAGAACAGUGUUCGAGUACCAGUUGGCCUCUGUCCCAAUCUUCCUGAAGUCUGGCCCUGAAUAAAACCAAUAAUAACAAUCACACUAGCUUUUAUUGCCCAUUUUGUGAGACUCAUUUCUUCUCAGUAAAACUCUUUUCCUUUAGGCUAUUAUCCCCUUGUAAUUAAAACAAUAUUUUGUAUCCUCCACGUGGGAUUCCUUUGAAACAGUGUGGAUAAUACACAAUGACACUCUGAAAGCUUUUAUUUAGUUUCUCUUGAGUCAAAGCAGAAGCUUCCAGGACAGAUUUAUCAUGCUAGGUCUGGAGAGUUAUCUCAACUCACAUGCAAGAUAGCGGAGCCCCAGGAGAGAUUCAAAGCUCCCUUUCUGGUGUGAAGAAGGUGCAAAUAUAAGAUCAUCUCUGAACCUGUCAUCGAGCCGAAUGACAUAUCACCUGUAGGGUCACUGGAGGAAGUGUGGGGGCUGUAACACAAGCAGAGCAGAGAAGGAGGCCUUAUCCCUUCUAAGCAAACCAUCC